rnacentral:piRNA from 1 species
UGGGUUACCAAAAGAAUGACAGACUUGAUA